rnacentral:tRNA from 1 species
GAUUUUAUAGUCAAUAAAUGAUAUUAGACUGCAAUUCUAAAGUAGUAUAUAUUUACUAAGAUCU